rnacentral:rRNA from 1 species
UGGGGAAUAUUGGACAAUGGGCGCAAGCCUGAUCCAGCAAUGCCGCGUGUGUGAAGAAGGCCUUCGGGUUGUAAAGCACUUUUAUCAGGAGCGAAACGCUGUCGGCUAAUACCCGGCGGAACUGACGGUACCUGAGGAAUAAGCACCGGCUAACUUCGUGCCAGCAGCCGCGGUAAUACGAAGGGUGCAAGCGUUAAUCGGAAUUACUGGGCGUAAAGCGUGCGUAGGCGGUUUCUUAAGUCUGCUGUGAAAUCCCCGGGCUCAACCUGGGAAUGGCAGUGGAUACUGGGAGGCUAGAGUGUGUCAGAGGGUGGUGGAAUUCCCGGUGUAGCGGUGAAAUGCGUAGAGAUCGGGAGGAACAUCAGUGGCGAAGGCGGCCACCUGGGACAACACUGACGCUGAGGCACGAAAGCGUGGGGAGCAAACAGGAUUAGAUACCCUGGUAGUCCACGCCCUAAAACGAUGCGAACUGGAUGUUGGUCUCAACUCGGAGAUCAGUGUCGAAGCUAACGCGUUAAGUUCGCCGCCUGGGGAGUACGGUCGCAAGACUGAAACUC